rnacentral:rRNA from 1 species
UACGUAGGGGGCAAGCGUUGUCCGGAAUCAUUGGGCGUAAAGAGCGCGUAGGCGGUCCGGUAAGUCCGCUCUGAAAGUCCGGGGCUCAACCCCGGGAGGCGGGCGGAUACUGUCGGGCUAGAGUCCGGAAGAGGCGAGUGGAACUCCUGGUGUAGCGGUGGAAUGCGCAGAUAUCAGGAAGAACACCAACGGCGAAGGCAGCUCGCUGGGACGGUACUGACGCUGAGACGCGAAAGCGUGGGGAGCGAACAGG